rnacentral:rRNA from 1 species
CCUACGGGGGGCAGCAGUGGGGAAUAUUGGGCAAUGGGCGCAAGCCUGACCCAGCAACGCCGCGUGAAGGAAGAAGGCUUUCGGGUUGUAAACUUCUUUUCUCAGGGACGAAGAAAGUGACGGUACCCGAGGAAUAAGCCACGGCUAACUACGUGCCAGCAGCCGCGGUAAUACGUAGGUGGCAAGCGUUAUCCGGAUUGAUUGGGUGUAAAGGGCGUGUAGGCGGGAGCGCAAGUCAGAUGUGAAAACUCAGGGCUCAACCCUGAGCCUGCAUUUGAUACUGUGUUUCUUGAGUGCUGGUGAGGCAAUCGGAAUUCCGUGUGUAGCGGUGAAAUGCGUAGAUAUACGGAGGAACACCAGUGGCGAAGGCGGAUUGCUGGACAGUAACUGACGCUGAGGCGCGAAAGCGUGGGGAGCAAACAGGAUUAGAUACCCCAGUAGUC